rnacentral:rRNA from 1 species
AUUGAACGCUGGCGGUAUGCUUUACACAUGCAAGUCGAACGGUAACAGGUCUUCGGAUGCUGACGAGUGGCGAACGGGUGAGUAAUGUAUCGGAACGUGCCUAGUAAUGGGGGAUAACCACUCGAAAGAGUGACUAAUACCGCAUAAUAUCUCAGGAUGAAAGCGGGGGACCGUAAGGCCUCGCGUUAUUAGAGCGGCCGAUAUCAGAUUAGGUAGUUGGUGGGAUAAAAGCCUACCAAGCCAACGAUCUGUAGCUGGUCUGAGAGGACGACCAGCCACACUGGGACUGAGACACGGCCCAGACUCCUACGGGAGGCAGCAGUGGGGAAUUUUGGACAAUGGGCGAAAGCCUGAUCCAGCAAUACCGCGUGCAGGACGAAGGCCUUCGGGUUGUAAACUGCUUUUGUACGGAACGAAACGGUUCAGAUUAAUACUCUGAACUAAUGACGGUACCGUAAGAAUAAGCACCGGCUAACUACGUGCCAGCAGCCGCGUAAUCAUACUCGUA